AACCAUAGAAACCUGCGGAGUACCUGCGGAGGGAUCAUUAUUAAUUUAAAAAUUUUUAUUAAUUUAAAAAUUAUUAAUAAUAAAUAUAUAAUAUAUUAUAUAUAAUAAAUAUAUAAUAUUAUAAUAUUUAUAAAGGUGGCAUAAAUACUAUCCACCUAAAAAAAUAUUUGUAUUUAAUUUUAAAAAAAAAAAUUUUUUAUAUAAAUUUAAAAUAAUGAGAGAGAAAUCAUUAAAAUUUUA
rnacentral:misc_RNA from 1 species